UAGUCUUUUGCACUCCUGGGCAAAACCAAGACGAAAACCAGGGAACAGUUCUACGGACAUGAGGAAGUGACACGGACUCAACAGACAGACGACAAAGACUAACAAGGAAAGAAACAGACAGAAUUACAGUUCUCAAGAACUCUGGACAAGGAAAAGAAGUAGACAAUAUCCAACAUAGAAUCAGGGAAAGCAGAUACUCAGAGAAAUCAUCCAAGCAAUUCAAAGCAUGGCAAAACGAUCAAUCAGUUCAAGAGGUGAAACAAAAAUGACAGAACCUCACAGAUGCACACUAUCAGUGUUUCUCUCAAGUG
rnacentral:lncRNA from 1 species